rnacentral:rRNA from 1 species
GAUGAACGCUGGCGGCGUGCUUAACACAUGCAAGUCGAACGAGAAGUGGAGACGGAAACCUUCGGGCGGAAGACUUUAUUUCGAGUGGCGGACGGGUGAGUAACGCGUGGGUAACCUGCCUCAUACAGGGGGAUAACAGUUGGAAACGACUGUUAAUACCGCAUAAGACCACAGCACCGCAUGGUGCGGGGGUAAAAACUCCGGUGGUAUGAGAUGGACCCGCGUUCGAUUAGCCAGUUGGCGGGGUAACGGCCCACCAAAGCGACGAUCGAUAGCCGAUCUGAGAGGAUGACCGGCCACAUUGGGGCUGAGACACGGCCCAAACUCCUACGGGAGGCAGCAGUGGGGAAUAUUGCACAAUGGGGGAAACCCUGAUGCAGCGACGCCGCGUGAGUGAAGAAGUAUUUCGGGAUGUAAAGCUCUAUCAGCAGGGAAGAAAAUGACGGUACCUGAGGAAGAAGCCCCGGCUAACUACGUG